rnacentral:lncRNA from 1 species
GGGUACAGAUAUCCUUACAGCUGGGUGCGCAACUCACCCUUCUUUGCAGCAGCUCCGAACGCAAUUGACUCACGGUAGACGCCGUGGCUCCGUUAAAUGAUCAAGGGGGAGGAGCCACGAUGGGGCGGGGCGUGGAGGAGGCGUGGCCUCGUAGGGGAUUUCCAUACUGUCGAUCCGCGCGACGGAUGGCCCGAUACCUGGAAACCUUCACAAGUGAAACGGACACACGCUCGAAGUCGGAACACUGCAGCUGCUCCCACACCCGCUGACGGAGAACUGCGCGCCAACACCUUGAGCCGGAGCCUAACCCAGCAACACAGGGCGAAGGGCUGGAGGGGGAGAGAACACACCCAGGAUGGGACGCCAGUCCGCCGCAAGGCACCCCAAGCGGGACUCGAACCCCAGACCCACCAGAGAGCAGGACCCGGUCCAACCCACUGUGCCACCGCACCCCCCCAGUACUUCGAACCCGGUGCCCAAAUCCACCAGAAUUUACUAAUUUCAAG